GAAAAAUCUUGAGACGCCAUUAUCCUCUGUUUCUCUGCUGCACUGACCUCGACAUCUUCCCUGUGUCUCACUUGUUAGCUGCCUAUAGGCUACUGCAGCACGGGGGUGUCAGUUAUUGGUCCAACCCAGAACACUUCAGUUCUGCUCUGCGAGGAUAUAUAAUAACUGAUUGGUGUGUCCAUUUAAUGCAAGAAUAUGGAAACUGAACAGCCAGAAGAAACCUUCCCUAAUACUGAAAUGGUGAAUUUGGUAAACGCCCUGCAGAAGAUAUGGAAGAGGAACAAGCAUUUAAAAGAUCUAGAAACACUGAUGAGAUGGUUGAAUUACGCAUUCUGCUUCAGAGCAAGAAUGCUGGGGCAGUGAUUGGAAAAGGAGGCAAGAAUAUUAAGGCUCUCCGUACAGACUACAAUGCCAGUGUUUCAGUCCCAGACAGCAGUGGCCCCGAGCGCAUAUUGAGUAUCAGUGCUGAUAUUGAAACAAUUGGAGAAAUUCUGAAGAAAAUCAUCCCUACCUUGGAAGAGUACCAACACUAUAAAGGAAGUGACUUUGACUGCGAGUUGAGGCUGUUGAUUCAUCAGAGUGUAGCAGGAGGAAUUACUGGGGUCAAAGGUGCUAAAAUCAAAGAACUUCGAGAGAACACUCAAACAACCAUCAAGCUUUUCCAGGAAUGCUGUCCUCAUUCCACUGACAGAGUUGUUCUUAUUGGAGGAAAACCCGAUAGAGUUGUAGAGUGCAUAAAGAUCAUCCUUGAUCUUAUAUCUGAGUCUCCCAUCAAAGGACCUGCACAGCCUUACGAUCCUAAUUUUUACGAUGAAACCUAUGAUUAUGGUGGUUUUACAAUGAUGUUUGAUGACCGCUGUGGACGCCCAGUGGGAUUUCCCAUGCGGGGAAGAGGUGGUUUUGACAGAAUGCCUCCUGGUCGGGGUGGGCGCCCCAUGCCUCCAUCUAGAAGAGAUUAUGACGAUAUGAGCCCUCGUCGAGGACCACCUCCCUCUCCUCCCGGACGGGGUGGCCGGGGUGGUAGCAGAGCUCGGAUCUUCCUCUUCCUCCACCACCACCACCACCUAGAGGGGGAGACCUCAUGGCUUAUGACAGAAGAGGAAGACCUGGAGACCGUUACGAUGGCAUGGUUGGUUUCAGUGCUGAUGAAACUUGGGACUCUGCAAUAGACACAUGGAGCCCGUCAGAAUGGCAGAUGGCUUAUGAACCACAGGGUGGCUCCGGAUAUGAUUAUUCCUAUGCAGGGGGUCGUGGCUCAUAUGGUGAUCUUGGUGGACCUAUUAUUACUACACAAGUAACUAUUCCUAAAGAUUUGGCUGGAUCUAUUAUUGGCAAAAGUGGUCAGCGGAUUAAACAAAUCCAUCAUGAGUCGGGAGCUUCGAUCAAAGUUGAUGAGCCUUUAGAAGGAUCCGAAGAUCGGAUCAUUACCAUUACAGGAACACAGGACCAGAUACAGAAUGCACAGUAUCUGCUGCAGAACAGUGUGAAGCAGUAUGCAGAUGUUGAAGGAUUCUAAUGCAAGAUAUUUUUUCUUUUUUAUAGUGUGAAGUAGUAUUCUGGAAAGUUUUUCUAAGACUAGUGAAGAACUGAAGGAGUCCUGCAUCUUUUUUUUUUUUUAUCUGCUUCUGUUUAAAAAGCCAACAUUCCUCUGCUUCAUAGGUGUUCUGCAUUUGAGGUGUAGUGAAAUCUUUGCUGUUCACCAGAUGUAAUGUUUUAGUUCCUUACAAACAGGGUUGGGGGGGUGGGAGGGUGUGCAAAAACUAACAUUUAAAUUUUGAAACAGCAGCAGAGUGAGUGGAUUUUAUUUUUUGUUAUUGUUGGUGGUUUAAAAAAAAUUCCCCCCAUGUAAUUAUUGUGAACACCUUGCUUUGUGGUCACUGUAACAUUUGGGUGGGGAGGGACAGGGAGGAAAAUAACAAUAGUCCACAUGUCCCUGGCAUCUGUUCAGAGCAGUGUGCAGAAUGUAAUGCUCUUUUGUAAGAAACGUUUUAUGAUUUUAAAAAUGAAUUUAGUGAACCUAUUUUUGGUGGUCAUUUUUUUUUAAGACAGUCAUUUUAAAAUGGUGGCUGAAUUUCCCAACCCACCCCCAAACUGAACACUAAAUUUGAUUUUCAGCAACUCUGUUGGAUAUAUAAGUGGAUCUCUUCUUGGGCAUAGGCAAAAUAACUUGGCAUACUUAGUUCUAGUGAUUUCUUGGUGGUUUGAAAGUCUAUUGCUGGGAAGAAAUUCCAUCAUAUUCAUGCUUAUAAUAAGCUGGGGAUUUUUUGUUUUUUUGCAAAUGCUUGCCCCUGCUUUUCAACAAUUUUCUAUGUUAGUAGUUGUAAAGAGCUAAGGUGGGGAGCAGUACUACAAGUUGAGUAAUGGUAUGCGUAUAUACCAGUAUUCUGAUUGGCAGCAAGUUUUAUUAUCAAAAUAACACUUGGUUAUGGAAGUGACUGAUGCUUAAAAAAAUUGAUUAUUUUUAUUAGAUAAUUUCUCACCUAUAGACUUAAACUGUCAACUUGCUCUAGUGUCUUAUUAGUUAAACUUUGUAAAAUAUAUAUAUACUUGUUUUUCCAUUGUAUGCAAAUUGAAAGAAAAAGAUGUACCAUUUCUCUGUUGUAUGUUGGAUUAUGUAGGAAAUGUUUGUGUACAAUUCAAAAAAAGAUGAAAAAAGUUAAAAAAAAA